GACAAACGCUGGCGGCAUGCCUAACACAUGCAAGUCGAACGGACAGAACAGGGAAGCUUUUCGGAGUGGAACUGGAAAGUUAGUGGCGGAUGGGUGAGUAACGCGUGGACAACCUACCUUGUAAAGGGGAAUAACCUCGAGAAAUCGAAGCUAAUACCCCAUAAUAACCUUGCUUCGCAUGAAGUAAGGAGGAAAGGCGGCCUUAGCGCUGUCGAUACAAGAUGGGUCCGCGUCUGAUUAGCUAGUUGGUGAGGUAAAGGCUCACCAAGGCGACGAUCAGUAGCCGGCCUGAGAGGGUGAACGGCCACAUUGGGACUGAGACACGGCCCAAACUCCUACGGGAGGCAGCAGUGGGGAAUCUUCCGCAAUGGGCGAAAGCCUGGCGGAGCAAUGCCGCGUGAGUGAAGAAGGUCUUCGGGUUGUAAAACUCUGUCCUUAUCGAUGAGAGAGUGUUGUAGUAACUGACAAUACUAGGACGGUAGAUGAGGAGGAAGCCCCGGCUAACUAUGUG
rnacentral:rRNA from 1 species